rnacentral:lncRNA from 1 species
UCCUAACCUAAAUAGUACACAGUACGGAUCCAGAUCCCAGAAGAAGUUCAGAAGAUGAACUUGUAAUGGUUUCACGAAGUUCGGCUGGACACUGUAAGUAUAAUUUCUACUUAACAUUCUUCAAAAUCCAGAGUAAUCUACUUGCAGAACAAUUUGAGACCUUUCAGUUUCUCGUAUACCAUCGUUGUCGCAAAUUACUUCUCCUGAUAUUUUACCUUGAUUCAAAUUAAUGGAAUUUUGGGCUCUGAUUUACUGGCUGUUGGUUGACUACUCUUUCAAAUCAAAUUUCUUGCCUCAAACUGAAUAUAAGCCAUCUCCAUUAACAAAGGAAGUUCGCCAGACUAAAGAAAUUGGCAAUAAGACAUUAUUAAACCAUUCACACCAGCAAGGGCACAUGCUAACAGGAGAAGGAACAACAUCUGAAGUUUUAAACAAAAACAGGAAAAGGGAGAACAUUUCAUAUUUUCAAAAUGUUCAAGAACAGAGGCCUGAACAUUGGGUUCAACAUUUGCUUCAUCUUUCAACACAGCCUACAUAUUCCAAACUUUGAGAAACUGAGAAGCACUUACUUAAAUAUGCAUUAAGUAAAGGAGUGGCAUAUCUCGUCAUACAUCAAAUGUAUUUUGUUUGUCCUAUACUGGUUUCCCUGUUUAAGGAAUAUAUACAAGAAAUGACAAAACUGUAAAGACCACAUUGAUGUAAUGUUUGAUAUGAUUUGGUCUCGCUUCAAGGAGGUUGCAUGCUUUGGUUUCUGAACUCCAAAAUUAAAUUUGUUCUCUAACAGAACAACAUGCUUUGGUUUUGCUUCGGUGAGGUUGCAACUGAUGUGAAAACCCAUUCCAGGGACCUCCUACAAGCAAUUCAUUAGAAGGCCAGCACACAUUAAGUUUUUUCCUUUAAAAACAUGAAUUUCAGAAGGAAAACACAUAUUACCUGGGUGUCAAUGAGGCAUUCAUAAAACGAACAACUAGUAAUUGUUUCCUAUGGUUUAGUUGGACAUUAAAUAAAGACACUUUCUAUCGAAGAUGAGCAGAAUGAAUCACAAGAGAUGUGUACCAAAUAAUGUGCUGUCAAUCUGAACCACAACUUCCUGGUACUGAUUUCUACAUAUACAAUUACUAACAACCACGUGGAAACGUUUUUCUUUAGUUGGCAUAACUACAUGCAAAUACCAAAUAAGAAGGAUCAGUAAAGAGAGCACCUCAUUUAUCUAUUUUCCAAUCUUGCUGCUGCAACCUUAUAAUUAUAGAUCAUACAUCGAUUUGGAGCACAUAUUAGUACAUAGUAAUUCCUCGGCAAUGAUGAUCAGUCAUUUUAGAACAAUCAUCAGUCAGUCGGGCAAGACAAGAAACAAAUUGGCAGCUACUAUCUAUGUGUUUUUCGAACCAAUUAUAGGAACCUCCAAUAUAUGAGGCUUUGCAAAUAGAAUAUAAGGAACACCGACAUUCUGCAAGCCAUGGUUACUAACCUGCAUGAAAAUAGGGAGUAAAUACCUUGUAAUUGAUAUGAAGAUUGUACAAAUAUACUUGCAGCUCGUAUGUAAAUUUGGUGCUCACAAGACACUAUUCCAAUUCUGAAUCAACAAAAGCAUGCCUUUUAAGUCAACUAGAACAAAUUGUUCAUGCUCAUCUCCCGGCCACUGGUUUAAACAGAUUGGGGGAAAGGUGUGGACGAAAUUGUAAGAACAAAAAUGACCUUAACACAUGGAUACAGGACGAAGCAAACAUAUCAAGAUCCUUGAGUUGAUGCAGACGACAGCGGCAGUAGAUUGAGUCACCAAUGCACACUCACAAUGAGCCACCACUGCCAAAAUCGAAAUCAAGGCACUCUUUAGAUGUUACGGUGGUAGGCUGCUGCUAGAAAUUUCAAAAAAGCAGAUCACUCCUAUGUAUUUGAGUGAGACGACGUUCGAUUGGUACAAGAUUGAGAGAUUGACGAAAUUUACUAACCCUAACUCGCCUGCCACGGUGGUACAGAAGAGGGAG